rnacentral:lncRNA from 1 species
CUGGAUCCAACGGGAGCCACGUGUGAGAACUGGAUGCCCAGCCUUUGACACAUUAUCGAGUGAGUUUAGGGAUCUGGGUUUUGUGUUUGCCGUUGAAUUUUGGAAUGAUCUGGAGAAAUUUGGGUUUUAGGGUUCUAAGGAUUUGAGUGAACCGAAAUUGAUUUGGAUGAGCAACUUUUAGUUUCGAUUCGCGGUGGAGCAAGGAUGAAGAGGUGGAGGAGGAAGGAAUGAAAGACUUAACUUCUAAAGUUUCAAGUGCUUAGCAAAUUUCGAUCAAUGUAUGUUUCAAUACUUCAAAAAAAGGGACAUGCAUCAAAGACUUUUAGGUGGAAAAAAUAUGCAUUGGCUGAAAUGGAGAUAAUUAAGAUUUAAAAUGUUAAAAAUUUUCUUUUUGGCUCACUAAUUAGAUGCAAAAGUGAGACUGUGUGAACAAUUUUACACCCAGAAACAUGAACUACACAGAAUCACAACUGAUCGAACAAUGAGAAAGUAUAUAAGACAAUACACUAUCAAUAGGCUAAAACACUCUAUUAAUUGAUCUAACAAUAGGCUAAUAGGUUUAACUAAACCAUUAGAGACUGCAACAAUGAGAAAGUCUGAAGAUUAAAGUUCUAGUUGAAUAUCUUUGAACCCCUAGGUGUUGGAAACACUUUCAGUAAAUUUGUUCAGGAAAAUAUAGAAACUCAUGAUGCAAUUCCAUCGUCUGGGAUAGCAAAUAUUUACCUGGAAUCCAACAUUAAGCUACCAUUUUUCAUAAGUUUAUUCUUUUUGUUAACUACACUGGAAUUUAUAAAACAAUUUUAGAAAAACUCGAGUCUAGAUAAUGAACUUUUGUUCCAGUUUAAAAAAUUUUGACUUGUGUUCUAAGCAACAUUAUGUAUUCGCAUUUCAAUUGUGAAAGGCAGCAAUAAUCCCUGACUGAAGAUAUUAAAAAUCAGAACUUCUUCUCCAAGUUUUCAUUUAGUUUAUUUCACUUGUCCAUCGGAAUUUUAUGCAAAGAAGAUUAAAUAAAGACAAUAGCAUGCCAAAGAUUAAAACCCCUCAUUUCAAACUCUGCUAAUGCACAACUCUGUUUGGUUUUCUUCUCCAGAGACCAGACUGAGUGAGGAGUCAAGUUCUCCAGUGCACCAACAAUCUCCCGUUCGAGCAGCCAUCACCACCUCACUUGCCACUCCGGCGAGGCACCACCUUGCCACCACCCUCAUGUCUCACUCCCUCUCUACCACUCUCCCUAUUUCCCUCACCUCUUUCUCUCGAUACUGUGCUCGCUGCACAGAAACAGCAAGGCAACCACCGUCGCCUUUUUUCACAGCGAACUACGCCGUAACGAAACCAUCACCAUUAAUCUCGCUACCUAGGCGAGUUUUACCACCCUCUGCAAACUGCCUUCAUGCCUUCUAAUUUCAAUUCUUGCAUUUCUUGUAUGGUAUCCAUGUCUUGCACAUUCAAAUACUUAUAUACCGACUGAGAAUAACAAUAUAAAUCCCACACCCACCUCUUUUUCCCCACUUGAAAAAAUCACCUAAAAACAACAUUAACCACCAUAGUUUAAGAAUCCAAACAUGGCUCCAAAUUUCAAUCUAAUUAAUUAAAUUACAGAGGAUUCUACCUACCUCAUGAAAACAAAUAUGUUCAAUUAAAGAAAUUCCCUAACCAAUGCAGUGCAUCUUAAACUACUUCUUAACUAUGUCAGCCAUACCAAUCUAAUAAAAAAUCCAUGUUUCAAUCGAUUCUUAUUAAUUCCAACUCCAAGUAUUUCAGCAUCUAGAUUAUAGAAAAAUCAUAACAAAACAAAACUCAAUCUUGGUGCUAAAGCACACUUCGUUAACCUCACCUUCAUCAAGUCCAUGAUUCCUGCCAUGAGAUCUUUCUCUUAAUCCAGACUUGGCUUCAGAUGCAAGAUCAAAAUAACGAAGCAUUCAGUUCCAUUUCUACGCACAGCAAAUUAAAAAUUGAAAUAUGUUAUAAUUUACUCGGAAUCUUCAUAAGUAUCAUCAAAACAUAUAAACAGAUACAUUUGAAAACUGAUAAAGCUACCUAAUUAAGUUGAAAAGUUGCUAAUUAAGAUCAGGUGCCAGUGCAUCCAGUGAGCCUUCCAAGGAAAGAUGGCCCCAUGGACUUAGACCUUGAAAACUGAGGCUUGUUUUGCCUUGUAAUUGUAUGAUCAGUAGCAUUCUUAUGGAUUGUAAUUGUAUGAUCAGUAGUAUCCUUAUGGAUUCCCAGAUGAAUCCUCAAAAUUUUGUUCUCAUCUGUUAGCUUAUGCACAUGGGACAAAAGCCGCUCAAUUGUUUCACACUUCUCCUUGUUUCUCCUUAUCAACUCAGCUCACUGCUGCAUAUUUCGUCAAUGAGUUUCGAGAUCUUUUCAUGCAACAUUUUAUCUUUUUCAACCACAUUACCAUCAGAUUCUACACCAUGAUCAAUACUCUCUUUUUCCAAAUAUUCUUCAAAAGUACACAAACCAACCUUUUUUAGGACAGACCAGCAUUUGUUUGUUUUGAUGGCUCUGAAUUUGGUUUCCGUUUUCUCUUUGUGGUGGUCUGAUCAAGAUGCAGUCCAAAAACUAAUUUGAGUGCCUACACAGAUGAACAUCGCAUAAAAAUCAAAAAUAAAAAACAGCAGCAGAGAUAAAAAAAAAGACAAUAAUUCUAAAAAAAUUUAAAUCAAAAGCUUAAGACUAACUCACAGGAAGUUCUGUGAGUUAAUUUUUUGGGCAAAAAAAAAUUCUAUUAAUGCAUUCUCAUACAAAAAAAAAUUCUUUAAAUACUGAUUUCAUGCGAUCCAGGAGCUAAGUGCUUAAAUCAGAAAAAUUUCUUUAACCCAGAUACUCUUAUAUUGCAGUGCAGCAAAGUUUUUCUUGAACGCUGACGAAUAUCACUCUGAAAUUAACCCAAAUAUAUCUCAGAGAUUGCAGAGAUUCAGACAAUCAAUAAUAAGAUGGCCGGAAUGUUCUUUAUUCAUUUGUCCUCCAUACUCUACCCUAAUCUUCUUAGGAUUUUAGUUAAACAACUUGCUCCUGUAACAGCUAUAUUAAAGCAUAAAUAUUCAUGAACACUCAUCACCAAUAGCAAAAAGGCAUAAAGUAUUUUUACAUAAAUCUAAAGAUCCCUUUUGUGUCCCAAACCCAGGUCUGUCCUCUCUUUGCCUUCCUCCUUCAGGGCAUAAUUAGAGAUACCCACCAACAGUAUAACCAGAAAAAUUGCAGUGAGAUUUUAAAGUACGAACUUUAUUUGAUAUUGCAAUGAAAUAUAACAAAAUGUAAAAAAAUUGUUAUUUUGGUAAUAGACAGUGGAAUAACAGAAGAAGCCGAACCCAGAAAAAUUAAAAACACAUAAUCACAGUAGAAGAAGCAAACCCAAGAAAAUACAUAAAAUAAAAUAAAAGGGUGCAACUUUUAUUGGCGGGUGAAUGAGUAGACAAUAAAAAAAAGUGCAAACUUUGAGUUCAAAACAAACCUCGUACCAUUGAAAUUUGAGACUUGGAGUCGCCCACGUGAAGGGUUUUAUGAGAAGACAGUAUUAGGCGUGCUGAAGUUAGUUUAUGCUUUUAGUUGUAAAUUCACAUCUAAUACUAGUUGAACACAAAUUUCAGCAAAUACACAGAAGAAAUAGCAAGAAUUCAUUUCAGAAAUGGGAAAAAAUUAAAUUAAAAAUAGAAAACAAAGGGCCGAAAAGCUGCAUACCUAAACACAAUUUCAUAUCUUUUUAUCCUCUUCGAGUACCGAUCCAUUCCAGAGAGAGGGAGAGAGGAGGAAGGAGACGACGAAGGGGGAGAGGAGGGAGAGGAAGGCGAGAGGAGGAAAACGACGGAGGCGAUUUACUGUCUGUGUUGUUCUCGCGGGGACUGCGAGAUGAACGAGGUGAGGAAUGACCAGGUGGCUCUGGGCUCAAGGUCAGUGAAGCAGUGGCGAAGCCAAGAUUUACCGAGGGGAGGGGAGGGGCGAAAUUCAAAAGAGUGCAAAGUUAUCGAAUGGUUGCUUUCACAUUGGAGAGUGUAAAGUUUUGAGUCAAUAUUCAUAGCAAAAGAUAGUUUUGCAUCAAAGUUGUUGUAAGCAAUAAUAUCAAAACUAAUGUAAGAAGCUUAAAUUGGCAAAGAUUAUAUCGUAAAAAAUAUUGUGUGCUAGUCAAAUAGUGGACCUAGCAGACCUAGGCGAUAUCUAAGCAGAAGCCUAGAUGGAUUUAAAUUAUCGUAAAAUAAGUAUUAAACAAUAUUUACAUUGUUUUUAAAAAAUAAUACAAUAUUUAUAGAUAAUGUGAGAGUUUAAGAAAAUACGGUGAGAGUCUUAAAAGAGAAAAUAAAAGGGAAGUGUUAUUGGCACUCCAAAAAUCUCAUUCUACACUCCUCACAAGUGUAUUUUUAUUUCUAAAUAUAGAAAAUUUUGAAUGUAGAAUGAGAUUUUUAGAGUGCCAAUAACAAUUCCCAAAUAAAAAUACAUACACGAACAAAAAUUUGAAAAAAAAGAGAGAAAUAGGUUAAUAAGGACAAUACUUGGGUACUGCCUUUUUUCAAUGACUACAAUGUCACUCAGUAAAGUUAAAACAUGUGUCCUACUUUUCUUAUUAAAACUAGCAACCAAACACCCUCGUGUUUAAGGAAGACGGGCAUCCAAACAACCCAUUUAUUCCUUUCGUCCCUAACAUCUCCGCACGUCUGUAUACCAUGGUUUCCAUUGCUCUCAUCAUCACCACUCCAUUUCAAACAUAAGCACAAACACAAACAAUAAUCCAGCAAUAAUUUACCCAUUUGAAAACCCAAUUUUUUUUUUCAAAUCUGGACAAACAACCAAAUUUCAUUGCGACCCGCCACCAAUCCUUAUCUCCUUCGGUGACCCACCACCAAUCCUUCUCUACUUCGACGACCCACCUCCUCUCACUCUCUUCUACAGAAAGACUAACUCCUUGUCCUUCUCUUGAACGACGGCGAUUGCUGAAGACUGUCUCCCCCACAGCAAUAGAAACCAGAUCACUGGAGCGGGAAUUCUCAUUUCCGACGAGAGCGGAGGGGCUGAACGAGCGCUCUUAGGCAUGUUUUCCGGCGAGGGGAGUGGCGGCCGCCACUCCUUACCCUCACGUAGCUUCGCCACUGUCAGUGAGAAAAUGAGAGACCUAAACGGCUAGGUUAGAAAUGAGAGUAUGGGUUGAGGGGCACAGAAGAUCUGGAAAUGAUUUUUACCUUUCAAUUUGGAAAUGAUUUUUGCUGACCACUGUCAUGUUCCGUGAUUUCUUCCAUCACAAGAAAUCAAGUUGGGCUCAAAUUGUAAUAGUUUGGGUUCAAUUUGCAAUUUACAGCUUUUAAGUGGUAUUUUAUUUUAGGGUUAAUAUCAGUUUACUAUCCUGAAAUUUUGUGAUUUUCAAUAUUUGGUACAUGAAAUUUUUUUCAUCCCAGAGUCAUACCUCAAGACUUAAUUUUGGGACAAUUUCAUACAACCGUUAGAAAUUCUGUUAACUAAUGACGUGGUGUUCACGUGGACAAUAAUUGAGCGCCAUAUGCCAAUAUUGGCCCACUCCAAUAUUAAAAAAAAUUAUAAAAAAAAAAAAAAGAAAACCCAACCUUCCCUCACCCACCCCCUCCCCCGGCACCCUCUCCCUCUGUUCUCUCUUCUGCAAGUCCCAGCACCUCUCGAUUUUCCUUCAAUUUGACCCAUUUGGGACUGGGAGCCAAAUUAGACUAGGAGUUGGAAUUUGAGGUUCCAGGGGAAAUGGGGAAGACCCAGAUGGCAAUCUGAUUCACCAUUGGAGAUAAAACUGAAUCUGGAUAUUUGCACAGUGCAAAGCUCAGAUCCGUUCACAAUCAAGCUAUUACAGAAGAAGACUUGAGGUUUGGACUUGCAGGCGGCAACGUUGGCCAAUGUCCACACGUUCAGGCAGAGGCUGGUGACCUCGACGAGGAUCAGAAGGGAGAGAAUGGCGGCUGCACUGUGCGAAGCGACGCAGCAGCAUGUGAGGAAGAUGAAGAGUGUGAUGAGGAUGACAGCGAGGGUGAUGUGGGCGAGGAGAACAGAGGCGUGGAAUUGGAGAAGAGAGAAGGGAGAAGCGAGGGAAGAGGUGAGGGUUGCAGAAGAGAGAAAUGAUGGAGAUGGUGCGGGGGGGUGAGGGACGGGUGGGAUUUUAUUUUUAUUUUUAUUUUUUUUGUUUUUGUGUUUUUGUUUUUAUUUUUUUAAUUUUUUAAUAUUGAAGUGGGCUCAUAUUGACAUGUGGCACUCAGUUAUUGUCCACGUGGAUGUCACGUCAUCAGUUAACAAAAUUUCUAAUGGAAAACUUAACGGAUGUAUGAAACUGUCCCAAAAUUAAGACUAGAGGUAUGACUCUGAGAUGAAAAAAAAAACUUCAUGCACCAAAUGUUGAAAACCACGAAAUUUCAGGAUAGUAAACAGAGAUUAACCCUUUAUUUUACUAGUUUCUUUGUUAGUGACAAGUGGCAAGACAGACAUGUGUAAUGGGUUGGCUAUAUAGCCACACUCUCUCUCUUCCAACUGUUAGAAUGAAUUUAAUAUAAUUUCACAAAAGCUGAGCUAAUCUCUUUCCUUCUUCCUUCUCUAUUUAUGUAUCUUGCUCGGUCAAGGUUGAACGGUAGUUUGAAGUUGGUGGGUAUCUUGCAAGUUCCCUCAACUUUAGACUAUGGUAAUGGUCUAUCCAUUUAUACCUGUGGGUGGUGGUAGUGCCUAGUGGUGGCUUGCUGUUGUCUAUAAAAUGUGUGGCCUUAUGCUUGUUGUAAAUAAUGGGUAUGUUUGCCCACAUGUGUGUACUAUAUACUCACAAGCUAAAUAGUAAUGUUUUGUAAUUUUCCAUUGAAGUGGCUCUAUAAAUAGAGCACUUCAUUUGUGCAAAAGAGGGAUAUAAGAAGAAGAAAUAAAAGAGAAAUAUAUCUAAUAGCAAUAAUAUACAUUACUUCCUCAGCAACAGCUUGUGUUGGUAUAAUACUCUGCAACUGCUUCGUUCCUGUCCCGAGUAAAGGUUAUCUCUCUAUAAAUUUUGCCUAUUUAUAACACGUUAUCAGCACGAGUCUCUAAGUAUAACCAUGUCUCAUUUACAUUCACUAAACAAUAAAGGAAAUCAUUCUCUCUUUUCUCUCCGCCGAACGAAAAAAAAAAAAAAUGUUUCCUCUAAGGUUUUUCCUGUUCAUCUUCUUCAUCUGCCUCAACUGCGCGGUAUAUCCUCGUGACGAACUAUUUGCUCCAUGCCUGCUCGUAGUUCUCCAACUAGCGGUUACAUACAUCUUUGAUUACUUGUUUGGUUUGGAUAUUGAUUACUAACAUAGUAUUUAUAUUGAUUUUACUGCGAUCCAAGAUGGUGCGGUAUCAUCGCCUAUCUUGGACUGCAGAUCUACUUUUACUGCAAAUUUCAGGUGGAGCGGUAUAAUCGCCCUCCUUGCUCUCCAAAUUUAAAUUUACCUGUUAUUUAAUUUCAUUGCAAUUUUAGGUGGUGCGGUAUAAUCGCCCUCCUUGCUCUCCAAAUUUAAAUUUACCUGUUAUUUAAUUUCAUUGCAAUUUUAGGUGGUGCGGUAUAAUCGUCCACCCUGCUUUGCAUAUUUAAAUUUUAUCGCAAUUUUAGGUGGUGCGGUAUAAUCGUCCACCCUGCUUUGCAUAUUUAAAUUUUAUCGCAAUUUUAGGUGGUGCAGUAUAAUCGUCCACCUUGCUCUACAUAUUUAAAUUUUCCUGCUGUUUAAAGUAGUGCGGAAUAAUCACCCAUCCUAUACUUAUUUCGAUGAGAAUGGUGCGGUACAAUUGCCCUUCUCAUUAAUUGUGUAAAUCUCGAGCCUGAAGUUUCGAGUACUUAUCAUUUUGGCCUGAAGAUCAAAAAUUUGUAAGAACCAGAAGUUCUAACAAUAUAUUUCUCCAGUACACAUAUUACUGCAAGUUCUUACACACCUCAUUUUUCUUUCAGAAAAGAAAAUGGCAAACUUGGCAAAGCUUGAUUUUGCUGCCCUGGACAUUACUGGAAAGAAUUACCGUACAUGGGUACUGGAUACCAAGAUCCAUCUGGAAGCAGCAAAUCUUGGAGAAACCAUCAAGAAAGAGAGCAGCUCAUCCUCUCAAGAUCGGGCAAAGGCCAUGAUUUUUAUUCGUCGCCAUCUUGAUGAGGCACUAAAGAGCGAGUACUUAACGGUUAAAGAUCCGUUAGCCCUUUGGAAUGCCUUGAAAAGCAGAUACAAUCACCAGACAACGGUGAUUCUUCCAAAAGCUCGCUAUGACUCGACUCACCUAAGGAUCCAGGAUUUCAAAUCAGUGGCUGAGUACAAUUCGGCGUUGUUCAGAAUUACCUCUCAGAUGAAACUCUGUGGGGAUACUAUCACUGAGGAGAUGUUAUUGGAAAAGACUUUCAGCACAUUCCACGCCUCUAACAUGGUACUGCAACAGCAGUAUAAAGCGCGAGGCUUCACUGAAUACAACCAGCUGAUAUCUGUGCUCCUGGUAGCUGAACAGAACAAUGAGCUUCUCAUGAAAAACCAUAAUUCCCGACCUACUGGAUCAGCACCGUUCCCAGAAGUGAAUGUUGCUUCCCUUGAAAGGAAUACCAUAUCCUCCCGUGGCAAUAAUUACAAACGAGGAUGUGGCCACAAGCAAGGUCGGUGGAAAGGGAAAAGCAAGAACCAUGGUGUCCAGUUUCACAACCAGGUUCCAAGGUAUAAUCCAGGCCCGAGCUUUAAAAAUACCAAUCGCCAGAAAGGAAAAGCUCAUGUGAACACUCCUAGAAAUCAUGAAGGAGGUUGCCAUAGGUGUGGUGGCAACGGACAUUGGGCGCGUACUUGUCGCACCCCAAAGCAUCUGGUGGAACUAUAUCAAGCCUCCUUCAAGGAGAAGGGUGUCGAGAUCAAUUUCCUUGACCAGGCUAAACCAAUGGAAACCCCUGAUCCAGUGACCAAUUUAUCAGGACAAUUAAACACAACCCACCUGGAUGCUACAGACUUUAUUAAUGAAAGAGGGAAUGAAGUUUAUGGGUCCGAUUGAAUUAUUUAUGUUUAAUGUACUCAUGUUUUUUGUACCUGUGGUUUAAUGCUCGCAUUUUCAAUUCAAUAAAAGUAGUAUUCCAGUAUGAAUAAACUGCUUUUUCUUUACUCAGAGAUCAUGGAUAAAAAUUAUGGUUAUUCUCAAAACAAGAUCAAUGGCGGAGACUUUUGUCUUGCAGAUAGCGCAACCACGCAUUCAAUACUUCGAGAUCGAAAGUAUUUCUCGAAUUUGGUACUUGCAAAAGUAAAGGUAACAACAAUAUCAGGACCAUCAGAUGUAAUUGAAGGCUCAGGAAAAGCCCAGAUUAUGUUACCAAAUGGAACAAUAUUGUCUAUAAUGAAUGCAUUAUAUGCUACUCGGUCCAUUCGAAAUUUGUUGAGUUUUAAAGACAUACGUCUAAAUGGAUACCACCUUGAAACGAAAAUUGUAGAAAAUGUGGAAUAUUUAUGCAUUACCUCCAAUGAUACCCAGAAGCGUAUAUUGGAGAAGUUGCAUGGUUUAUCGAGUGGAUUGUAUUGUACAUACAUAAAGACAGUUGAGGCAUAUACUGUCAUGAACCAGAAGUUCAUUGAUUCAAAGGUUUACAUGCUUUGGCAUGACCGUCUAGGUCAUCCAGGAUCUACCAUGAUGCGUAGAAUCAUUACCAACUCUAAUGGACAUCCAUUACUGAGCAGACACAUUAAUGUCUCGAAUGAUAAACCUUGCAAGGCUUGUUCCCAAGGGAAGUUGGUAAUUAGACCAUCACAACUAAAGGUUGAUGAUGAAUCCCCAUCAUUUUUGCAAAGAAUUCAAAGGGAUAUUUGUGGACCUAUUCAACCACCUUGUGAACCAUUUCGAUAUUUUAUGGUUUUGGUUGAUGCAUCUACCCGAUGGUCACAUGUUUGCCUAUUGUCUACUCGAAAUGUAGCUUUUGCAAGACUUCUUGCUUAGAUAAUUAAGUUGCGAGCACAGUUCCCAGAUCAUCCCAUUAAGUCCAUUCGACUUGAUAACGCUGGUGAAUUUACGUCUCAAACCUUUGAUGAUUACUGUAUGGCAUUGGGCAUUGAUGUUGAACACCCUAUUCCUCAUGUCCAUACUCAAAAUGGUUUAGCAGAAGCAUUGAUCAAGCGGCUUCAAUUAAUAGUCCGCACUCUGCUUAUGAAAACCAAAUUGCCAGUUUCUGCAUGGGGACAUGCCAUUCUACAUGCUGCAUCAUUGGUUCGAUUGAGACCUAUAGCCAACCACCAAUACUCCUCAAUACAACUCAUGUUUGGACAUCAGCCAAACAUUUCACAUUUACGAGUUUUUGGUUGUGCUGUUUAUGUGCCUAUUGCACCCCCGCAACGCACUAAAAUGGGACCUCAGCGUAGACUGGGAAUUUAUGUGGGUUUUGAUUCACCAUCUAUUAUUAGAUAUUUGGAACCCUUGACAGGUGAUAUAUUUACAGCUCGUUUUGCUGAUUGUCAUUUUGAUGAGACAGUCUUCCCAUCGUUAGGGGGAGAAAAGACCGUUCCAGAAGAACGGAAAGAGCUGACAUGGGUUGUUCCCACCUUAUCUCAUUUUGAUCCUCGAACCCUUCAAUGUGAAAAUGAAGUGAAAAGGAUCGUUCAUCUUCAAAGCAUUGCCAAUCAAAUGCCAGAUGCAUUUAAUGACGUUAUGAAAGUGACAAAAUCGCAUAUACCAGCUGCAAAUGCACCUGCCAGAAUUGAUGUCCCUGUUGGACAAAAUAAAGUGGCAGCGAAUGAUUCAUCUGGUGCACGCCUGAAGCGUGGUAGACCACCAGGUUCAAAAGAUUCAGCCCCUCGGAAGAGAAAGACGAGAGCACAACUGAAUCCAAAUGAAAUCAUUCAGGAAGAGAGAGUAAAUGACAAAUCCACAAUUCAUGACUCUGGACUUCCAGAAGAAGAAAAUGGCCCUGAAGAGACAGAAGUACAUGAAAGCAAAGAAAUCUCCAUAAACUAUGCAUGUACUAAUGAAUUGUGGGAUCGGAAUGAAAUAAUCAUUGACGAUAUGUUUGCAUUCGCAGUAGCCACUGAAAUCAUAUUAAGUGAUGAUAUUGAGCCCCGCUCUGUUGAUGAAUGCAAACAGAGACAAGAUUGGCCUAAGUGGAAAGAUGCAAUCCAGGCAGAAUUAAAUUCCUUGGAAAGGCGAAGUGUUUUUGGACCAGUAGUCCAAACCCCAACUGAUGUAAACCCCGUAGGUUACAAAUGGGUAUUUACAAGGAAACGCAAUGAGAAAAACGAGAUUGCUAGAUACAAAGCACGACUCGUUGCACAAGGCUUUUCACAAAGACCUGGAAUUGAUUAUGAGGAGACAUACUCUCCUGUAAUGGACACAAUUACGUUCUGUUACUUAAUAAGUUUGGUGAUUUCAGAAAAACUUGACAUGCGACUUAUGGAUGUCAUCACCGCGUAUCUAUAUGGAGAAUUAGAUACUGACAUAUUCAUGAAAGUCCCAGAAGGACUUAAGUUGCCUGAAGCAACAAACAAACCAUGGGGUAUGUUCUCAAUCAAAUUAAGGCGAUCACUAUAUGGGCUGAAACAAUCUGGGCGAAUGUGGUAUAAUCGUCUCAGUGAGUAUUUGAUUAAAGAAGGAUAUAUCAACAAUGUCAUCUGCCCUUGUGUGUUCAUUAAGAAAUCCAACUCUGGAUUUGCUAUAGUGGCAGUAUAUGUUGAUGAUAUGAACUUAGUUGGGACUCCUGAAGAGCUCCAUAAAACUGCUGAAUAUCUGAAAAGCGAAUUUGAAAUGAAAGACCUUGGGAAAACCAAAUAUUGUCUAGGCCUGCAGAUCGAGCAUUGUGUUAGUGGAAUUUUGGUCCAUCAAUCAGCUUACAUUGAAAAAAUACUGAAGCGAUUUGGCAUGGACAAGGCUUAUCCACUUAGCACCCCAAUGGUCGUUCGUUCUUUAGACAUUAAGAAAGAUCCAUUCCGUCCAAAGGAAGAUGAUGAACUGGUCCUUGGUCCAGAAGUACCAUAUUUGAGCGUAAUAGGUGCUUUAUUGUAUUUAGCACAAUGUACUAGACCAGAUAUAGCUUUUUCAGUUAACUUGUUAGCCAGGUACAGCUCUGCUCCAACAAUUCGUCAUUGGAAGGGAGUCAAAGAUGUUCUACGAUACCUUCGUGGGACAACAGAUAUGGGUCUCUUCUAAUCAGACAAGCCCACAAAUGAACAAAUCCUUGUUGGAUACGCAGAUGCUGGUUUUCUCUCCGAUCCGCAUAAAGCCCGCUCACAAAAUGGAUAUGUGUUCACUAAUGGAGAUACUGCAAUUUCAUGGCGAUCAACGAAGCAAACGCUAGUUGCAACAUUUUCCAAUCAUUCGGAAAUAAUUGCUCUACAUAAAGCAAGUCGUGAAUGUUCUUGGUUAAGAUCAAUGAUCCAUCACAUCUGGAAUUCAUGUGGUCUACCUUCAAAGACAGACACUCCAACUGUCAUCCAUGAAGAUAAUGCAGCCUGUGUCGCCCAGAUGAAGGAAGGAUUUAUCAAAGGUGAUAAGACUAAACACAUAUCUCCAAGAUUUUUCCGCGCACAUGAGCUUCAGAAGGCUAAAGUUAUUGAAGUCAGACAAAUCCGUUCCAAUGAAAAUUUAGCAGACUUGUUCACCAAAUCUCUACCAAAGUGCACAUUUCAGAAGUUGGUACAGGGAAUCGGAUUACGUCGGCUUACGGAUUUGAAGAAUGCGGAAUCAGGGGGAGAUACAAUUCAGGGGGAGCAUCCAUGAUACAUGCAUGUUGUACUCUUUUUCCUUCGCUUAGGACUUUUCCCACUGGGUUUUUCCUAUCAAGGUUUUAACGAGGCAACCUAAGCAUGCUCAACACCAUCCGGGUAAAGUUGUACUCUUUUUCCUUCGCUAUGGUUUUUUCCCACAGGGUUUUUCCAAGCAAGGUUUUAAUGAGGCAACUGAUGUUGAUAUGUGGGCAUCCAAGGGGGAGUGUUGUAAAUAAUGGGUAUGUUUGCCCACAUGUGUGUACUAUAUACUCACAAGCUAAAUAGUAAUGUUUUGUAAUUUUCCAUUGAAGUGGCUCUAUAAAUAGAGCACUUCAUUUGUGCAAAAGAGGGAUAUAAGAAGAAGAAAUAAAAGAGAAAUAUAUCUAAUAGCAAUAAUAUACAUUACUUCCUCAGCAACAGCUUGUGUUGGUAUAAUACUCUGCAACUGCUUCGUUCCUGUCCCGAGUAAAGGUUAUCUCUCUAUAAAUUUUGCCUAUUUAUAACUAUGCUUUGUUUAUUGGAUAUUUAUAAUAUUAUACAAUUCCAAUUACUUUAGUCUAAAGUAGGAAAUCCAAUUGCAUUGUUCAACUUCAACUGAACAGUGUUUUGGACCGAAUUUCACUUUAUUUACAAAAUUUCCACCACCCCUAUCUGUCGUUCAAAUUUUGCUUAUAUCUUUGUGCAGUGUGUCUGUUGUAUUAUCUGGUCACAGAUACCUUAGUUCAGUAAUUUGAGAAGCAUGGGGAGACAAUAGACUAAUCAAAGAGAUGCAUGUGAUCAACGAUAAACAAGUAAGCAUCAUCCUCUUCCUUCUUUUGUUAUGAUUCGUUGUAUAGAGAAUUGAGAAAAAAGUUGAAGACAAUUCCGCGCUUUUGAGUUAUAGCAAUUAAUAUCUAAAAUGACAUUGAUUAGUUCACUUAAGUGUUGAAUCCUUCGUUAGUUUAUCUAUGGUGUGUGCUUGAGAAUGAAAGCAAUGGACAUUAUAUAGAAUUGAUGUUCCUUUUAAUGUCAGUAAAGAAAGGAGUUGUUCCUUUAUUAGCAAUUAUAUGAAGUAGGCAUAUUAUACAAUGUCUACAAUCGACUAUUUUACUUUUUGUAUAUAAGUAAAAAUGUUGAUCGAAAGCCACAAAAACUACCUAAGGGCCGAAGAACUGUUUAUGUUAGAAGAACAGAAUAUGGUGUAAAGCUUAAAUUUUGGGCACUUCAAAAUAUGUUUUUUUUUUCAAUUAUAAUAACUUGCAUGAAAAUUCAAUUGGGUUUGUUCUAGUCUCCAAGAAUUUUGCUUUGUUUGGUUACUAAUUAAUUUAUGUGGUGGGAGUUUAGUUUUUCCUUUUCUGCCUAUGUAUAUAUAAUUCGAAAUGGACCGUUCAAUUUGCUAUAUAUAAAUUUGUAAUCGAAAAGCUCGAAAAAGAGGUGAAUAAAAAACAAUGGUGGUAGAGUGAUGGAGUUGAGGAGUUGAGAGUUUACAGGGUUUACUUGAAUUUUUGUAUGAUGUCCCUGGUAUGUUAGAUCAUUGAAACUAACUGUCUGGUUGAUUAAUCACUAAUUUGAAAUAUUUAAAGUGUAACUUUUCUUUAAUUCACUUUUCUUUUGUAUUUUCAUUGGAGUGCAGAUAAAAGAUAUUUCUUUUAUCUUUUUCAACCACAAACUUUCCGAUGUCUUUUGAGAGUGGUCCAACUAGAGUAUUGGAUGACAAGUUUAGGUUUAAUAUAUACUUGAGUUCCCACAAGGAAGAUGGUAUUUUAGAAGUUAACAAAUUGGACCCUAACGAUAGACUUCUUAGAGAUACGUCCUCCCAGUUUGUAGCCUUUGUAUUGAAGUUGGAAUUGCUUCGCUCAACUGAUUAUUUCCCAGGCUUAAAUCUAUCAAGUUGUUGAAGUUACCAAUAUCAACGAGAAUGUUACCGUUGAUGUUGGAAAUGCUUAAAUCAAUAGUUAGGAGUGACGUAAAGAUAUGCUAACAGUUUGGGUCUUUUACGACUUGAAAUAUACGGCGUACAGACCGGCAUGCCUUAAAUGAUAUUAUUCAUGACAUUCAUAAAGUUCAUAUCGUAAUACUUACGCAUAAUCUCGUAUUCACAACAUCACUUUUAUGCAAGUAGUUAAAUAAAAAUAUUUAUGACUUAAGCGUUGUCUAUCGUAUCUCACAAUCCCAUAGUAUUCAAUCUACAACUUUCAUUUACCUCACAUAUCUCAGGUUUUGUCUAUCUCUCUCUGCCUCUCUCACGCAGUCUCUCUCUCGACUUUCACUCUCUCAGAUUCGUAUCUCCCAAUCCCAGCGGCCUCGAUAUCUCUCUCGUCUCCAACCACGAUACCACCAUCAUCUCCUGUCAACUCUCGACUCUCUCCCACCACCUGCACUUGACGGUCCUGACUCCUGACCACCAUCUAUGUUCCAAAUAAGGUAUGCAGUUAGGGAUUUAAGAUUGAAAUAAAUUGGGGUUUUCUAGAUUUAGGGAUUUGGAUUUGGUCAAUUCUGGAAUCAAAUGUUAAUUAUAAUUUGUUUAAUUUUGGCAAUUUGAGUGCAAAAUUAGGGUUUUGUUAUUUCAAGUGUUGACAGUAAGACCCUUUGUCAAUUAGUAACCACUUAGUGCUUGUUUUCGAUCUGUCAUUGAAUACGAAAUCACGACUUUUAAUUUUUCAUUUUACAAGUCAUCAUAAGGAAUAGAUAAUUCUAGAAUUAUAGUGCAAACUCUUGAUUUUCAGUUUCAGACUUGGUUUUGUUUCAGAAUUCUGAGGAAUUUUAAUCAUGGUGUUGGGGAUUUGUUAAUUUUGCUCUCUCGCUCUCUCUCGCUCUCUCUCUCUCUCUCUCUCUAUGAUUUGGUUGGGAUUGCAGAGUGACUUGGGUUUCUUUGUAUGCAUGUCCCGGACCUCCAGGUCACAUGGGGUACUUAGCAAGGUUUUACUUUUGCAAAGGAGAUGGAGAUGUUACAGACUUACAGUGAUACUGCAAUCCAAAUAAUCUGUUUUGAAAAUCCAAAUAAUCUGUGAGUAUGUUGUAGCAGUAGAAUAACACUGUGGGGCUUAGCCUAGUACUUAAAUUAUUGACUUUGUUGCUUAGGAUAAUUUGAUUGAGUUCCUUUGGUAUGAUUUAUAUUCACUUAUUUAUUCUAUUUAUUUUUACUAUUUUUCAGGUAGCAUUCAAGUCUUUGGUGAAAUUUUAAACGAAGAGGUUGCAAAUGCAGCGGUAAUGAGUGGAAAAGUUUAUACUUACUUUUAUUAGUAUUGAAGUCUUUAUCAAUUUCUAAGUUAACAUUUUGUUUUGACUAGCUCGUAACUUACCAAUCGAAUCCAUCCCCUUUGACUAGCUAGAGUAUCUUGGUUGGGAACUCUAUCUGUUCCCAGCGCCUAGUAUCCAAAGAUGAAGUUGAGACGGGUUGGGAACUCUCUCUUUCUCUCCUUUUGUUUUAGUUCCCAAGAAAGUUGAUUGGAUUGAAGAAAAUGGAACAAAAAGAAAUGAAAAAAAAAUUGAAAUUUGUUGGUGCUUAUGUUGAUGUUGAAUUUGUAAUAUAUUAAGACCCAAAAACUAGAUAAAUGGCUAACUUUGAUGUAAAUUGAUAACAGCAAGCCACUAGGUCAAAAAACAGUGAGUCUUACCUUAGAGCUUUUGGGGAUAUCAUAAUUGAUAACCAUAUCCACCGAUCGAAUAUCCAAUCUUGUACUUGCCGCAUCAAUUCUUCAUGCAUGAAAUGUUAAGAGACUCAUAAAUUUAUCUACUUGCAAGUAUAUGAUUUUUAUGCAGGUUAUAGGAAACAAUAAAAUCGUAAAGGCAUAAUUUGUGUAUAUUUUAGUCAUUUGAUACAUGUAUGAGUGUAAAACAAUAAAACUGUGAAGGCAUAAUUUGGGAUAUAGGUUUGUAUGAUAGUGAUUAGUUUUUCUUUCAGUAUCACUUUUCUUACUUGAGAUUAAAUGUGUAUUUCUACAUAUAGCAGCACAAUAGAUUUUUUUUUGCUCCAUGUGCUUAUGUCUAUGCAGAUAGAGAUAGCAAUUAGUGUGGUUCAAGCAUUAGGAGCAGUAUUUCAUUCUCAAAGGACUUUGUUUGAAGGUGUUCAAUGAAAAGUGAAGUCUUUCAAGUGACAAAUUUCUUUGUUAUUAGAGGCCUAUUUGGUAUUUCAUGUGUAGUUUGAUAUUGACCUUAGCUUUGUUCAACUUGUAAUACAUUUUGACAAUAUGAUUAUUUAUGAUUAUGGUAAAUGUGUAAUUUUGUCAAUUCUUAUAUAUAUAUAUAUAUUAAUUGUUGAUGUUAGUCUCCAUUUAUGAUGUACGACGUAUGCCGUAAUUGCUUUCACAGUAUUACGACACUAAACAAACGUUGUAUCAAAUAUAAAUUACGGCACACAGGUAUGCCGUAAUUGUUUUUGCAGUAUUACGACACUUCAUUAACACCGUAUCUAAUACCAAUUAAGGCGCGCAAGGCAUGCCUUAAAGAGUAUUUACAACGUGUUUUGCUUAAAUUAUUCACGGCUACUAUAGAACGUCGUAUUUGACAAAACAUCUUUUAUGACAUGGGUUUUUACUGCUUGGGGGCUCACGCUGUGAAUAAUCGUUUACGGCGCUCUUUGUGCACCACAAAAGACUAGUUAUGUUGUAGUGAUAUUAUGUAACAAAUGCUCAAUUUUCUUUUGCACUCUUUUAUGAAUUUCAUUUGGAUGGGAAUGGUUACGUGACAUUACUUGUUACACCAGAAAAUGUCUGGUUUUGGUAUAAAGACUUAACUGCAAAAAGGCAUCUGAAAGGUUUCGUUUAGCUACUAAGAAAGUUUGGGAGGGGUCAAACGUCUUAGGUUGAGAUUACAUAUACAAGGGUGUUAGAUUUACAUAAUGGGUUUACAUAAUGAGUUGUUGAUGACUACAUACACAUUGAGAAUUUAGCUUAUGUCUUUGUGUCCGAUGAGGGAGUGGUUUUUUUUUUUUUUUUUUUUUUUUUUUUUUUUUUUCGGGUGUCAUUCCAUUUUAAUCUUAGUUCCAUUCAAAUGAAGAUAUUUAAAGAACCUAACGUAAAACAUCUGUACAAGCAAAACACAUCUUAGCAACGCCAAUAAAAUUAUCUACGAGAGUUGAUCCAAUCCAGGCAAGCCGCACGGUGGGUUAUUGAGGACAAAGCUGCCGAGAUCCAUAUUAAAACUCCAAUUUGGCAACUGAUGAGCAACACAAUUCCGCUCCCUAGAUACAUGCUUCAUGCUUCAGCUCAGCUCACAUCUAACCAAUUGACUCAUCAAUGUUUUGCAUAUGCUCACAAUUGUAUCAAGAGGAUAAUAACUAUCAACCAAAUUUUGUUAGAACAAAGUGACAGCAAACACCUCUGUCAAUAAAAUCUCCUUAUCCCAAAUGGACGCAGAUUGUCUGCCCUCCUAGUUGUGGUGCCGUUCCAUGCCCUCCUAUUUUGUGCGGUUACGGUUAAACCACAUCAACAUUUUAUAUUAAUUUUUUAAUGAGAUAAUAAGACAAAAAAUAAUAAAAAUAUAAAAUAUUGACGUGGCUUAACCGUGGCUGCACAAAAUAGGAGGGCAUGGAAGGGCACCACAACUAGGAGGGCAGACAAUCCUUGUCCAUCCCAAAUUGGCUGAGAACUCUACCCACACCAAUAUUGAACCAUCAACGUCAAGCUUUCACCCAGUUCUCGACUUUUUGCGUGUUUACUACAAGUAUGGAAUCUGAAGGGCUAGUUGAUUCGUAGCUCAAUACUUGAAAAUUAGGAGUCAAAUCAAAAUGUUUAUUUUUUAUUGGUAACACAUUUGCAAAUUUGGUUUAAAAAUUAAGUUACCUGAUAUUAUCCUAAUAUAAAUAUCUUUUGACAAAUAAAAAAUGCAUACAAAGAUAAAUUUGAGUGGUGAUAUCCACACACUCAUUUUUACCUUUCACACACCUUUAUUAUUUCCCGGGCUGUUGAACAAUUGAAACAAUCAAAUAAUAUAAAUUAAUAAGUGAUGUGUGAAAAAUAGAAAUAAGCGUGUGAAGAGCCACAAAACUAAACAGAUACCCAAAAAUACCACAACACACAAAGUCAGUCGUUACAUUUCAGUUGCAAAUGAAAAUUAUGAACACUGGGAUUUGCUCUCUCUAUCGCUGAGAGAUUCUCUGUUAUUGAUGGCAAUGGCGGACAAUGGCAGUCGUCUGCAAAUGCAUAACAUCGAGGAGGAGCUUCUUCUGCUUCAGAGCAGUCAGUUUCGACGACAAGCCCGACCGCCGAAACCUCCUCCGAAACGUUUUGACCCUUCCCGUCUUUAAAAAAGGCCUCUUCACUUGCUGCAGCCCAUCCCUUGCCGGAAGCAGUAUUCUCAGGUUUAUCUCACACAAUUACGGGUUUUUCCCGUUUUCUUUUGAGUUGCACGGUCUGUUUGGUUCCCCAGAAAACGCAGGAAAUUUUUGAAAGUUUUUGAGCUUCUGUAGGGUUUACUAAAGUGAAUACUUGACUAGGUUCAGUUGGGUUGCUGAUAAAUUCAAACAACGAAAUUUAGACGCGAAUGCUUUUAAUUGAUUUGAAGAGAAGUUUCUGAGCUAGUUUAUUGCUUUUGAAUGUUCAAAUUGGAUCCUAUAAAUGUGUCUGUGUGAUAAUUAGAUGAUUUGUUGCUUGCAGUAUGGAAGCACGAGAGAAUUCCAUAUAUGUGAUGAUGCCAGUUGAUGCCUUUUGCAUUGAUGGUACAGGGCGUCCAAGGAUUAGGAAGUAAGGUCAUCUCCAACCGAAGGGUCCAGAGGGCCAGAGGGCCGAAAAUAGCCCUAAAACCGUCUCCAACCGAGGGCUAGGCCAGAGGGCUCUGGAAUCUGGGAGGGCCCCACGGGAUCGGAGAGGGCUGGAGGGCUGGCUGCUUUCGGCCAGCCAGCCAGCCCCGGGCUGGCUUAUUUUUUUUUUAAUAGUUCUACUAUUAGUGUCGGUUAUAACCGACACUAAUAGUUUGAAUGUUUUUUAAUACAACGGCUAGUAGCCGUUGUAUUAUUAGGCCUUUUUUUUUUUUUUUUUUUUUUUAACUUUUUAUUUUCCCUUUUUUUUUCCUUUUCAUAUUAAUCAAAUUUUGUUUCAUAUUUUUUUUCAAUUCUAUUUUACAAAAUUUGUUUCAAUUUUUUUUUAAAUUCUAUUUUUUUCCUAUAACUUCUAUUUUACAAAAUUUGAUUCAUAUUUUAUUUCCUAUAACUUCUAUUUUACAAAAUUUGAUUCAAAAUUUGUUGACGUCACCUAGCCGUUAGAUUUGAAUUUAAAUUGUAGUUUUUAAAUAAUAAAUUAUGUUUGGCCCUAUGGCCCUUUGGCCCUCGGUUGGAGACGGUUUUUUGUGACAGGGCUAAAACGAGCCCUCUGGCCCUCUGGCCCUCGGUUGGAGACGGAGGCAAAUAUGGCCAUGUACUGUUUAUUAAAAUAUUAAUAUCUUGGAGAAUCUUGGAGGGCCAGAGGGCUAAAACGAGCCCUCUGGCCAGUCAUCGGUUGGAGAUGGCCUAAGUUUUAUUAUGACUUUAUGUUGAUGAGGCUAUGAUGCAUUUUCAUUCUUAAUUUAAUUGUUGUACUCUUUUAAACGACAGAAUAUGAUUAGCUACAAGGUUGCAGCUAACUAUUUUGAUCUGUUCCCAAUUCAAGUUAUGUACGCGUACAUUUCAAAAUGGUUCUAAAUAAAAUUUAUUUUUAAUUUAGUUUCCUUUCAAGUGAGACAGAAUCUCCUUAUAUAUUGCACGAUUUAUUGUUGUUUCAGAAUCAAGGCCUUAACUGUAGCUCUGAAAGCACUCAAGUUGGCUGGUGUCCACGGAAUUGCAGUUGAGGUUUGGUGGCCUCUUGCAUAUGAUUGGUCUCUAUAUGAAGGGCUUUUCAAACUGAUUUCUGACUCAGGUUUGAAGUUGCAUGUUGCCUUGUCUUUUCACUCAAACGUUAACUCUUCUUCUAGCAGAAAAGGGGGUGUAACUCUUCCGCUUUGGAUCAUAGAGGUUUGUUUUCUCGGCAAUUUUGAAAUCCCAUUUGACUGUUUGGCCUUUUAUUGGUAAAAGUGCACAUGGCUGUACUGGAAUGAUUAAUUUACCCAGUCAUACUCUUUUGUGACAACAUAAGAAACAUAACCCAUUUGGAUGACUAGAGAUAGUAUCAACUUUUCUUCAGUUUCCUGCUCUGCAACAUGCUAUGGUCCUGUGUUCCCCAUUAGCAUACUUGAUUUUAGCUUUGAUGUGCAUAAAAAGUUUAUCUUUGCAAAGGGAUGUAACAGAAAAAUGAUAGUUUGGCCUUCAUUACAUGCCCAUCAGUUUGAAUCCUGAAUUUAGAUAAAGAAGUUGACCUCUUCUGUUUUUUUUUUCCUCCCAGAUUGGUGAUCAGAAUAAGCAUAUAUAUUAUCGGGACCAAAAUGGAUUUUCCAAUGAUGAUUAUCUUACACUUGGAGUUGACCAUGUUCCUCUCUUUUGCGGCCGGACUGCUCUCCAAUGUUAUGAAGAUUUCUUGUCAGGUUUUGCUAAGAAAUUUGAAUCCUUAAUUGGAACUGUGAUAGAAGAAAUUGGUGUUGGUCUUGGAUGUUACUGUUACACUAGAACCACAAGUAUGAAGCCAGUCCAAUGAUUUCUUAUGCAACAUUGUUACAUUGCUCACACUGAUAUCCUGCACAUCCUUUUGGUGAUGGUAGAUGGAAGUUUCCUGGAAUCGGUGAAUUCUAAUGCUAUGACAAGCGCAUGUAUGCUAAAAAUCUUUCAUUCCUGUGACAGAAAUUUGGUUGCUAUUGAACUUUUCCUAUUUACAACGUUGUUCCUUUUAGGAUGGGCGACCUAAAGAUGGCUGUAGGCAAGGAAGGAAAGCCUCAGUGGGGAGGGAAGGGACCACAAAAUGCUGGCUGUUACAACAGUCUCCCAUCUGAAGUUCCAUUCUUUGAAGAGGGAGAGGAAAGCAUUCUUUCUGAUUAUGGGUGUUUUUUCCUUGUAUGAAACUGAUGGAAGCAUCUUGCUUUAUUAUUUCCCAUGAAAAAUUUCUGCAUAACUGAAGCCUAGUGUAAAUUGCAUGAAAUCAUUGUUUGUAUUUCAUCCUCGAACUACCACAUUGUUUCUUUAGCCAGGAAACACUUCUGUGUACGUGCCUGUAAACAACAUGGGCCUGCAAUAUAUAUUUUCAAUCUUUAGUGGAACUUUUCUUAUAACUAACUCUAUUUGCUUCUAGGGGUUAUACUUGCAGACUGUUUGCUACUGGAGUCUUAAAUACUCUUACGCAACAUGAUUAAAAGUAGAUGCAAUUUGAUUAAGAAUGAAAUGCAUUGAUGCUUGUCUUCUGGAAAGAAAAAAAAAUCAUCAUAGGAUGUACUGGUUAGUAAACUAAGGACAAUUAUGGAUGUAUAAGUGGAAAUUUAAAUCAUGUAUGGUUCUUUAUCAUGCAAUACUUGGCAUAACAUAAUUAAACUUAUUGGAAAACAAUGUGGAGCUUAGGAGAUCUGACAGUGGCUUGACUUGUUGUAGGAAUGGUACAGUGGUCGGUUGCUCCAUCAUGCAGAUGAUAUUCUUGCAAAGGCAGCUAACAUUCUGAAGAAAUAUCAAGAAUAGAAGCAAACUUCUAUUCUAUUGGCAGCUAAAAUUGGUGGUACCAGAUGAGAGCACAGCCUGCUGAAUUGACAGCUUGAAACUACAGCAGUGCUCUUAAAGAUGGUUAUGAUCAUGUUGCUUCAAUUUUGUCUCGUCAUGGAGCUGCUUUGCAUGUUUCGUAAGAUUCCAAGUUUUAAGGUUCUGACUAGAAUUUUGUUCAUUGUCUAACCUGAUAAUUAGGGUUGCUUACACAUUCGCUUGAUUUCAAAUGUAUCUAUCUACCAUGUUCACGUACUAAAUAUUUUAUUGCAGCAGCUUAGAAAUGAUGGAUGGUGAUAACCCGGCAUCCUAUCUUUGCAGUCCAGAAGGAUUACUCCAACAGGUACGGGGCCUGUUAAUUAAUAACACUUCCUUAGCUUGUGCUUUGUUGGUACUUUUUUUAACUUACUUUAGAAAUUUUAUCUGUAUAAUUCAAGCUUUUAAGUUAGGUAGGACUAACCCAUGUAGCUGUGCUUGUCACAGCAGGUCGUGCAGGGUCUCUAGGUUCAACAUGGGCUUGGAACGGGCCAAUAUGAGCUUUUUCAGUAUUACAGAUAUUAGGUAUUGUUGAUAUGUUUUUUAGGCUUCUUUUAGUGUCUUAUAAUUCAUUCUGAAGUAAAUCUUUAGUUUUAAUUGGGUUGUCUUGCCCAGAUAAUAAAGAAGAAACAUAUGACAAGUUGAUCAAUAACCAUUUUUCUGUUUUAUUGAAGUUUGGAAUAUAAUUGAUAAUUUGAUAUUACUAAACAACAAAAAUAGAAUUGCAUCACUAUACCGUAUAUUAGUGUCGUACUACUUUAGAUUGGCAUGGUCUGUCCAUUUACACUGGUGGGUGGUGGUAGUGCCUAGUGGUGGCUUCUGUUGUCUAGAAUUCUAUCGGUCAUUUGGUUUCUUCGAUAAAAUGUCUGACCUUAUGCUUUGUUUAUUGGGUAUAUAUCAUAUUAUACAAUUCCAAUGUAGUCUAACAUGAUUCGAUUUGCACCAGAUAUGGAGUGUUUCAAAGAAAUGGGCACAUUUGAUCGGGAGAAAUACCAAUGAAGGAUUUGACAGGGUCAGUUCUUCCUUUGCUCAAGAACAAAAGCAAAUUUCAGCUACCAUUUAUUUCUAUUAGACAUAUAUUGGAGACUUGGGAGCAGCCUCUCCAUAAAUGGAGAUAAGGUUAGCCGACAUUCACCUCUCCCAGACCCUGCGUAAAGCGGGAGCCUUGUGCACUGGGUACGACCUUAGACAUAUAUUGGAUAUUGCAAAUGUCUUAUAACUAGAAACACAUGGCUUCUGAUAGCGUUAGUUAAACACUUCUUCUUUUGCCCAUUCUGUGUUGCGCGUUCACGCGUCUGCUUUUCUCUUGCACGUUGGUUUAUGGCAAAUACAUACUAACUAUUACCAUUCCCAGGCCGAAGCUGUAAGAUCAUUUACAUAUUUCAGAAUGAAUGAUAAGAUCUUUAGGGCUGAAAAUUGGAGUAAUUUCCUUCCUUUUGUUAAAAAGAUGAGCACAAAUUGGUGAAGCAACCAAAAAACCCAACUUAAAUACUAAAUUUAUUGAUCUAGAGUAGCAGCCUCACUACCCUAUAAUUUUUUGUCAAGGGCAUGUGUAGAAGUUAAGAAGUUUGUCACUUCCUGAUAUAUUGACUGAAAUAACUUUGUGUUUCCAUGGCAGGCGUUCUUGACCUGGAAGUGUAAAUUUUUGAAACGGAUUUGGUUGGCCGUAGAAACUAAAUGCUUUACUAUCAAAAUACGAGAAGAAUAAUUGGAAUUGCAAUCUUGGUACUACUGGUCACAUUGCCUAGUCAAAUACAGGUACAACAUUUCAAUUUAAGGAAUAUACACAUACUGUCAUAUCCGUCACUAUACGAAAAUAAUGUAGUCUUUGCAGAUCGAAAACAACAAUAAGAAAAUGGAUCCGAAAAUAUAGAGAACAAAAAGAACUAAGAGUUCACUCCUUCACAGUCCUUCAAAUACUUAGUCUUGAUUUUGGUGAGUGUGAUUGCAGCAUCUUCUUCACAGUCCUUCAAAAACUUAGUCUUGAUUUUGGUGAGUGUGAUUGCAGCAUCUUUCAUGUUAAUCCUCUCUCCCGGCAAUGCUGCAGUACAAGCUAAAGCUAAUCUCAUAACGGAUGAUAAGCAAUCCCUCUUGCUCACAAAAUCACCAUCUUCCUCCGCCCCAAGUAUAUCGGCAUCCACAACUUCACCUAUUGCAGCAUCUGGAAAUAAUGAAUCUGCAAUCCAUUGCUUUAAAUUCAUUUCCCCAACAAACAUCUCAUCCGUUGGCUUCCUUUUUGUGAAUGUCUCCAUGAGUACAAUACCAAAACUAUACACAUCCCCUCUUGUCGAAACGCUUCCUUCCAUCCCAAACUCUGCAAAAUUUGUAUGUGAAUUUAGUUAUAUAUGAUAAAAAGAAAAUUAUAACUCCUAAUAAGACCAACAUAUACAAAAUUGAGAAAAUACAUCACCUGGAGCCAUAUAUCCAACUGUGGCUAGGGUCAUGGUUUCUGUCAUCGAAUGUCCACCGCCGAUGAGUCUUGCAAUGCCAAAAUCAGCAACAUGUGCAACCAUAUCAUCAUCUAGUAGUAUAUUGCUUGGUUUCACAUCACAAUGAACAAUAGGUACCGAGUAACCAUGAUGAAGAUAUUCCAGUGCCAAUGCAACAUCUUUCAUUACGUCCAGCCUCUGCAGGAUAUUCAUGGAGCUGUUUGGAGAAUACAACCAGUUUUCGAGGCUUCCAUUAGGCAUCAAUUGAAGUAUCAGGGCUUUGAAAUCAAGUUCAUCGCAGCAACUUAUGAUUUUAAUAAGAUUCCGGUGACGGAUAUUGCUUAGCAUUUCACAUUCCCUAUCAAAACUUUUGAAUGCCCCUUCUACCUGUAAAUUGAAAACCUUGACGGCAAUGUCUAUCCCGUAUGAAAGUGUUCCUCUGUAUACUGAGCCAAAACCCCCCGUGCCUAGUAAGUUACUCUCGUGAAAUCCAUUUGUCGCAUUUACAAGUUCUAGGCGCGAAACUCUUCUCCAAAGAACUUGAUGUAGCGAGGCAGUUUCUCUUACAACUUCGACAUUCCUUUUGUUGCAUAGUAUCAGAAUCAAUGCAGCGGCCGCUAGGAGUAUUACUGGUAUGACCCCUGAGAUGAUAUAUUUAGCUUUCCUCCAAUUUGGCUUAACUUUUGUUCUAUUUUUGCACAGGGGAACAUGGAGUCGGGAAGCACCGCAGAGCGCACCGUUGGAUACAAAUGAAUCGGCAGAGAAGUUUCCGAAAGGCCCGCCGGUUGGAAUUUCUCCUUGGAGUUUGUUGAAAGACAAAUUCAGAUGCUUGAGAUACAAGAGUGCUUCCAAUGACUUUGGGAUCUCUCCAGAUAGAUUAUUUUGGGACAAAUCCAAGAAUUCUAGGCUUAGCAAGGUUUUAAAUGAACUGGGAAUAGGGCCUUGUAAAUAAUUGUUUGCCAAGGACAAAUUAAUCAUAUUUUGAAGACCACCAAUGCUACCGGGAAUGUUUCCGGAGAAGUGGUUAUUUGAUAAAUCUAUAUCCACCACUUCUUUCAACUUUCCGAUGUCUUCUGAGAGUGGUCCAACUAGAGAAUUGGAUGACAAGUUUAGGUGCAAUACAUACUUGAGUUCCCACAAGGAAGAUGGUAUUUUUGAAGUUAACAAAUUGGACUCUAACGAUAGAUUUCUUAGAGCUACUGCCAAACCACCCAAGCAGGAAGGAAUAGAACCAGAGAGCCGAUUAUGACCCAAACCUAACUCGGCUAGGUUGGUUAGUUGACAGAGUUCAUACGGGAUAUGUCCUUGCAGUUUGUUAUCAUACAGAAACAAACCUUGGAGAUUUUUUAGCCUCUGUAUUGAUGUUGGAAUUGCUCCACUCAACUGAUUGAUUUCCAGAUGUAGUUCUAUCAAGCUGCUCAAGUUGGCAAUAUCAACGGGAAUGUUACCCCUGAUGUUGGAAAUGCUUAAAUCAAAAUAUGUGAGUGGCGUAGAGAGAUUCCCACGAAAAGCUGGAAUCGUGGUGUUUAAUGGAUUACCUCCCAAGUCUAAUUUUGUCAAAUUUCUAAGAUUAAACAAGCAAGAGAGAGUAGAAGCAUCAAUCGUCAAAUGAUUCCAGAACAAGAAAAGAAGCUCGAGGUUUUUCAAGGAACAGAGCGUGCUAGGAAGAAACCCGGUAAAUGAGUUUGUGUCCAUGGCUAGGACCCUGAGCUUGGAAGCAUUGGAGAAGUUAGGGAGUGUCCCGGCCACGAGGUUAUUGGAGGAUACAGAAAAGAAUUCUAGGUUUGGAACAUUAAGACCUAUGUUUGCUGGGAGGCCACCUGAGAGCUGAUUUAAAGUAAGCGAUAUUACUCUAAUCAUGGAGUUAUUGAAGAGCUUGGAUGGGAUGACACCAUUGAGAUUAUUAGCACCCAAUCUCAAAACCUCUAACUGCGGAAGAUCACCAAUCUCAUCCGGUAUUGUACCUAUCACAAUGUCAGCACGUUUGCAUUAACUUUGUAACUUCGGUUUAUCUAAAAACUAAAAACGAAAUGAUUGUAAAACGCCCCCAAAUUUAUUACCUGUUAAAUUAUUGAAACGAAGAAAAAUCUCGGUUAAGUAGGUCAAAUUGCCAAGACUUUUGGGUAUGCUCCCACGGAAAUUGUUAGACUCUAAUGCAAUUACACGAAGCUCUUUGCAUUGCCACAGUUUGGAGGGAAUCAGACCGUCAAACUGGUUUUGAUUCAAAGAAAAUCGUUGAAUACUCGAAAGAUGCUCACACAUAUUGUCCGGAAGAAUACCACUCAUGUUGUUUCCGGAUAAAGCCAAAGUAGUCAAAGAAGAUAUGUUAAGGACAGGCACAAAAGCAGAGCCUUUAGGGCAUUGUCCUGCACAAACAACUCCUCCAACUGACCUAAACUGCCUAUCUCGUUCGGAAGUUCUAUAAAAUCAAUCCGUGUAUAUUGUUAAAAUCAUGUAUACAUAUAUAGGAGCAGCUUCUUAUUGGGAAUCCCGUUGUACCAUAGCAAAAGUGGGAUACAUUCUAAGGACCAUGUACUCACCAUAUAGGACCUCUUUUUUGCUCUAGAAUACGAGGGUCUUACACGGUCAAUAUACGAUCCUACAAUAGUCCUCUCAUCUCAUUUUUUGCCGAAGUUGAACAAGAUCCCAGCUAAGAAGGGGCUUGUGUUUAUGUGUGUGUGUGUGUGUUUGUAUAUAUAUGUAACAAAACCUCAGUCAUACAGUAUACCUUCGAACUUGUUGUCGUCAAGGUAUAUGCCCUUCACCAUUGUUAAGUUGCCUAUUUCUCUGGGUAUACUACCUGUUAAAUAUGUGCAUGCAUUCCAACAAAAAAGAAGGAAAAAAAAAAACAAACGAGAUGAUUGUUAUACAUCUUAUAUAUAGAGGUUAAAAUGAAACAAAGAUGUUAAAAUGUAAUGAUGAAGCAAGCAACAUUAAUUUAUAUUCCUAGGUAGUUGGUAAUGGUGGUAUGUACGUACCCGAUAGUUGGUUCCUCAUCAGGUAAAUGUUUUCGAGUGCAGAUAAGUUGAAGAUAGCAGCGGGUAUGAAACCAGAGAAGUCAUUAUCGUACAAUUUGAUGGUUUGAAGUUUAGCAAAGGACCCAAACCACAAAGGAAUGGUUCCCAUAAAGCUGUUGUUUCCAAAGUUAAUCGCCUUCAACCGGCGCAAACGAGACAGUUCUUGCGGUAGGGGACCAUGAAAACUAUUAUUCUGAAGGCCCAACUCAACGAGAAAUGAGAGGUUGCCAAGAUGCGGAGGAAUAACUCCGGCAAGACCCAUGUAAGGGAGAUUUAAGGCCGUGACUCUGUGGUGGCGAGCACCGCAGGUAACGCCAACCCAGUUGCAAAUGUUGGAAUUGGAGGCAGAGGACCAGUUGGCGGUCAAGAUGUUUUGAGGGUCACUAGUGAUGUGAGCCUUGAGAGCAAGAAGCGCAGAUUGAUCUGUGCUGAAAUUGGUAUGAGCUAUUGCUAAUGCUCCUGCAGUUAAGUAAUUAGCCACAAUCAUCAUAUAGAUAUAACACAAGCAUUGUAUCAUCGACAACAUCUUUGAUAGUAGGAAACGACUUCUCUCCUUAAUUGUAGUAGUUUUCGUCUUUCGGUAUAAAUUCGAUCGAAAACUAGAACUCAUUACAUUCACAUAAAUAGGGAAACAAGUUGGUGUUACCAAGACUUGUGAACGACUUUUGUACUGGUUUGAUACUGAGGUGCUUUUAUAAAAAAUGGGUAUAAAAAAAAAAGAUGAGCUCAAAAAGGUGUUUGGUAAACACUUAAAAACAGUUUAUUUUCACAGUUUUGGGUGAAAAAAAAUUAAAAGCGUGAAGCAGCAAAAAUAAGCUUAUUCUCACAGCACAACAUAAACAGUUUUUUUUUUCAAAGCACAGCAAUACCAAACCAGCCCUUAGACUUGCCCGGCUUCUAUGUCAAGGUGAGGAGACUUUAGAUUUUUUAACAUAUCAAACACACACCAUUCAUUUUUUGCUGAUGGCGUAGGUAGGUGAGGAGGAAUGGUGACUGCGAUGUAAGAGAGAUUCAAGGCCACGACUUGAAUGUGGCAUACCAACCCAGUUGCAACUUUCAAGUGAGCAAUCAAUGCUAAGGAUGUUUUGGUCUGUGGUGGUGAUAUUUGGUAAUUCGCUGAUAGGUUAGCUAGGUGAGGAGGUCUAGUCUAAGUCCGACUUUUUUGUCGAAGUGAGGACUUAGAAUAGUGGAACGAAGGCUUGUGAUUUGGUAAUUGGUGCUGCCAGCCGACGAGUUCUGUCCAUUUUGUGGGCAUAGCUGGAGAUGCCCAAAUGUGGAAUUUUAGUCUUCAGUUCACCAUCAAAACAAACAAUACCAUAAAUUUCAAGAUUGAUAUUUAAUGAUGACAUACAUUUUGAUUCAAAUGCAAAUGCAAAUGCGACCAAACACAUGACAGUUACAUUCUUCCGGAUGAAAUGUUUUCGACGACGUUUACAUAUAAUCAAGCUCUAGUUGAACACUCUUCGGAUUCGAAAAUCAUCUAAACUUGGCUAAUUAGUCAAGAAUUACGGUCUUAUGCUUCUAAAUUAUUAAUCACGAUCGCAUGUAUAAAUUCAUUGCAGCAAUAACGAAGAAGGGAAGUAACAACCAGAGAUUGAAAACUAGUUCAGAUACGUACAUUCACUAUCAUGCAGACUUGCCAUUGGAGACAGCUCUGAAUAUGCAAAGGUUUUUUAUAGGAAAAAUUAGUAUCCGGUCCCUAGUUCUUACUGUUCAUUGAUUAAGACCUUAUUAGUUCUCAAAUUUUGAUUCAAGUCCCUAGCAAUAAUGUGAUAAUGAAUUUACAUGUUUAUUAUAUAAUUUUUUAAUAUAAAAAUUAGUAAUUAAUUUAGGGUUUAAUACUCACACCUCUAUUAAACUUCUAAUUAAUUUUCAAUUCAAACAUUUCCAAAAUAAUAAAAAAUUAAAUUAAAUUAAGUUUGUACCUAUUACUUUAUAUAUAUAUAUAUAUAUAUAUAUAUAAAGAUUCUCAAUUUUUUAAUCUUAAAUGUACCCAUUCAUAUAAUUUUUCAAUUUUUUUAAUCUUAAAUGUACCCAUUCUCAAAUACAUCAAUUUGUUAUAUGUAAAAUGUACCCUUUUUUUUAAUAUAAAAUCCAUUCAAAUUUUUUAAUCCAUGUUUAAACUUAUAUGGGUACAUUCUUUUUCGUUGAUUUGAGAAUGUAUCCAUGUUUUGAUACAAUAACUUUUUUUGUUAAUUUUGGUUAAUGUACCCAUACAUAUAUGUACACACACAAUAUAAUAGAGGGUAUAAUUUAUAUUUUAUUAUUUUUAAUCCCAUAAAUUAUGGGUUUUAUUUAAAAUCUCAUUAAUAUAAACAAUUACAAAUUUCAAUUUUUAAUUUUUAAUUUAAAACAUAUAGUAACUUACAUUAUUAUAUUAAUGUCAGGACCUCAAUCAAAAACUAAAAACUAACAAGGUUUCAAUUAAAAAAUAUUGAUAGCUAGGGAACGCAUCCAAAGUGUCCAUUUUUUAUAUGACUUCAACAAGAGAGGACAUACCAUGCUUAGAGAUGAAGCAGGCCUGCACCUGCAAGCCACGGUGGUAAUCGAAUUCCAGUGAAAGGGAACAAAACUCCAGCCGCCACCGGCAUGCUGAGGAUAUUGUAGCCCAGGGCCCAGACAUAAUUCAAUCGAAUUUGAGACAUGGUCUUUCUAGAGAGAUCAAUGGCUGUAACUACAUCUUCCAAGUUGCUCUUCCUCAGAACUAUAAGCAGCUUCUAUAACUACGUCGGUGCCCGCACCAAUUGCCAUACCAACAUGUCCUGCAACCAUUGCCGGAGAGUCAUUAAUUCAAUCUCCCAUCAUUGCCACCACCAUUCCUUUCAUCUGCAUCCAAAUCCACUUUAACAAGUCAGAAAACACUAUGUAAGAUAGAUAACUCACAUAUCAAGUCAGAAACAAACUUAAUAUAGAAAAAUGAGUUUGAAGAUUGUUUGCAAGGUUUAGCAAGGUUUUAAAUGAAAUAGGAAUAGGGCCUUCUAAAUGAUUGUUUGCCAAGGAGAAAUCAAUCAUAUUCUGAAGACCCCCAAUGCCACCGGGAAUGCUUCCGGAGAAAUGGUUAUUUGAUAAAUCCAUAUCCACCACAUCCUUCAACUUUCCGAUGUCUUCUGAGAGUGGUCCAACCAGAGAAUUGGAUGACAAGUUUAGGUGCAAUAUAUACUUGAGUUCCCACAAGGAAGAUGGUAUUUUAGAAGUUAACAAAUUGGACCCUAACGGUAGAAAUCUUAGAGCUACUGCCGAAGUACCCAAGCAGGAAGGAAUAGAACCAGAGAGCCGAUUACCAUCCAAACGUAACUCGGCUAGGUUGUUUAGUUGACAGAGUUCAUACGGGAUAUGUCCUCCCAGUUCGUUAUCAUACAAAUACAAACCUUGGAGAUUUUUUAGCCUUUGUAUUGAAGUUGGAAUUGCUCCACUCAACUGAUUGUUUCCCAGGCUUAAUGAUAUCAAGCUGCUCAAGUUGCCAAUAUCAACUGGAAUGUUACCCCUGAUGUUCGAAUUUCUUAAAUUAACAUAUAGGAGUGACGUAGAGAGAUUCCCACGAGAAGCUGGAAUCAUGGUGUUUAGUGGAUUUCCUGCCAAGUAUAAUCUUGUCAAAUUUCUAAGAUUAAACAAGCAAGAGAGAGUGCUUGCUGCUUAUGGAGUAGAAGCAUGAAUUGUCAAAUUAUUCGAGUGCAGGUUUUUCAGGGAACAUAGCGUGGUAGGAAGAAUCCCGGUAAAUGAGUUUGUGUUCAUGUCUAGCUUCCAGAGCUUGGAAGCAUUGGAGAGGUUAGGGAGUAUUCCAGCCACGAGGUUACUUCUGGCUACAUAAAGGAUUUCUAGGUUUGGACCGUUAAGAGUCUUAACUUAAGACCGCUGUUUGCUGGGAGGCUACUUGAGAGCUGAUUGAAAGAACGCCCUAUUUCUCUUAUCAUGCAGAGAUUGAAGAGUUUGGAUGGGAUGACGCCACUGAGAUUAUUAAUAACAAGUCCCAAAAUCUCUAACUACGGAAGAUUACCAAUAUCAUCCGGUAUUGUAUCUGUUAUAAUUUCAGCACAUUUGCAUUAAAUUUUUAACUUCAAUUUAACUAAAAACUAAAAGCGAAAUGAUUAUCAAACAAUCCUAAAUUUACUACCUAUUAAAUUAUUGUCAUUAAGAUAAAUCUUGGUUAAGUAGGUCAAAUUGCCAAGACUUUUGGGUAUGCUUCCAAGGAAAUUGUUAGACCCUAAUAAGAUUUCACAAAGCUCUUUGCAUUGCCACAGUUUGGAGGGAAUAAGACCGUCAAACUGGUUUCGACCCAAAUUAAAUCGUCGAAUACUCAGAAGAUGCUCACAUAUAUUUUUCGGAAGACUGCCACUAAUAUUGUUUCCAUAUGGAGCCAAAGUAGUCAAAGAAGAUAUGUUGAGGACAGGCACAAUAGCAGAGCCUUUUAGGGCAUUGGACUGCGCAUACAACUCCUCCAGCUGAUCUAAACUACCCAUCUCGUUUGGAAAUUCUAUAAAUCAAUCAGUAUAUAUUGUUAAAAUCAUGUAAACAUAUAUAGGAGUUGCUUCUUAUUAGGAAUCCUGUUCUACCGUAGCAAAAGUGGGAUAAUAUUAUAAGGACCAUGUACAACUAUAUAGGUUCUCUUUUUGCUCCAGCAUACGAGGGUCUUACAUAGUAAAUAUACGAUCCCUAUGAUAGUCCUCUUAUUGUAUUUUUGCUAAAGUGGAACGAGAUUCCUGCUAAGAAGGGGCUCGUAUCUAAACUACUUACUACCUCAAUCAAAACUACAUGAAAUUACAAUUUUAACACCCAAACCAAAACUGCACAAAAAUAAAAAAAACUAUGGGUAAUUUAGUAAGGGCUGUGCUAUCCACACACCCCAUUUUACUUCUCACACACCCCUUGAUAAUUUAUGUAUGUUGAUAUUCUUCAAUUGAUUCGAUCCGACGGCCGAAAAUUAAAAAGGUUUGUGAGAAGUAAAAUGGGAUGUGUGCAUAUCACACCCCUUUAGUAAUUACAUGAACAUAACUUUUGUUGUUAUUUAGGGCAACCUCACAGCUAGGUCACCAUAGCAUGCCAUAUUUAAAAAUUAAAAAUAAAAUAAAAUAGUAAAUAAAAAACAUGCCUACUUUAGAAGAAACUGCUCAUCAUUUUCCCAAUUUUUAUAAGGGGUGUGCUAUCCACACAUUUUUUUACUUCUUACACAUUCCUUGUUAAUUUAUGUCCGUUGAUCUUCUUCAUUUUAUCCGAUACUACGGCUGAAGAUUAGAAGGGUGUGUGAAAAGUAAAAAGGGUGUGUGGAUAUCACACCCCUUUUUUUAUAAUUGAUUUAUUGUUUUAGAAUUUUAAAAACUAAUCACACUACUUAGUAAAAAAAACAAAAUGAAAUGAAAUUAUACAAAACCUAAGUCAUACAGUAUACCUUCGAACUUCUUGUCGUCAAGGUUUAUGCAAUUCACCAUUGUUAAGUUGCCUAUUUCUCUGGGUAUGCUACCUGUUAAAUAUGUGCAUGGAUUCCAACAAAAAAGAAGGCAAAAAAAACGAAGGAGAUGAUUGUUAUACAUCUUAUAUAUAGAUGUUAAAAUGUAAUCAUGAAGCAAGCAACAUUAAUUUAUAUUCCUAGCUGUUGGUAAUGGUGGUACGUACGUACCUGAUAGUUGGUUCGUGCUCAAACUAAUCAUUUCGAGUGCAGAUAAGUUGAAGAUAGCAGCGGGUAUGAAACCAGAGAAGCCAUUACCGUACAAUUUGAUGGUUUGAAGUUUAGGAAAGGACCCAAAUCACGAAGGAAUGGUUCCCAUAAAGCUGUUGUUUCCAAAGUUAAUUGCCUUCAACCGGCGCAAACGAGACAGUUCUUGCGGUAGGGAACCAUGAAAGCUAUUAUUCUUAAGGCCUAACUCAACGAGAAAUGAGUGGUUGCCUAGAUGCGGAGGAAUAACUCCGGCAAGACCCAUGUGCGAGAGAUUUAAGGCCGUUACUCUGUGGUGGCGAGCACCGCAGCUAACGCCAACCCAGUUGCAAAUGUCGGAAUUGAAGGCAAACGACCAGUUGGCGGUCAAGAUGUUUUGAGGGUCACUAGUGAUGUGAGCCUUGAGAGCAAGAAGCACAGACUGAUCUGUGCUGAAAUUGGUAUGAGAUAUUGCUAAUGCACCUGCAGUUAAGUAAUUAGCCAUAAUCAUCAUAUAGAUAUAACAUAAACAGUGUAUCAUCGACAACAUUUUUGAUGGUAGGAACCGACUUCUCUCCUUAAUUGUAGUAGUUUUCGUCUUUCGGUUUAAAUUCGAUCGAAAACUAGAGCUCAUUACAUUCACAUAAAUAGGGAAACGAGUUGGUGUUACCAAGACUUGUGAACGACAUAGACUUGCCCGGCGUCUAUGUCAAGGUGAGGAGACUUAGACUAGUCGAACGAAGACGAGUGGCAAGGAACACCUACCAUUCAUUUUUUGGAUUUUUUAACAUAUCAAACACACACCAUUCAUUUUUUACUGAUAGCUUGAAGGUGGCGUACGCCGUAAGCAACACCUACCAAUUGCAACUUGGAAGUGAGCAACGAGUGGUAAGGAUGUUUUGGUCUGUGGUGGUGAUAUUUGGUAAUUGGUGCUGCUAGCCGACGAGUUCUGUCCAUUUUGUGGUCACGGCUGGAGAUGCCCAAAUGUGGAAUUUUAGUCUUCAGUUCACCAUCAAAACAAACAACACCAUAAAUUUCAAGAUUGAUAUUUAAUGAUGACAUACAUUUUGAUUCAAAUGCAAAUGCAAAUGCGACCAAACACAUAACAGUUACAUUCUUCCGGAUGAAAUAUCUUUGCCGACAUUUACAUAUAAUCAAGCUCUAGUUGAACACUCUUCGGAUUCGAAAAUCAUCUAAACUUGGCUAAUCAGUUUUUUCUGAACAGAACAAACCAAAGAUGAUACGCAAACGGUCCAAGAAUUACGGUCUUAUGCUUCUAAAUUAUUAAUCAUGAUCGCAUGCAGACUUGCUAUUGGAGACGCUCUGAAUAUGCAAAGGCUUCUUAUAUGACUGCAACAAGAGAGAACAUACCACGCUUAGAGAUGAAGCAGGCAUGCACCUGCAAGCCAUGGUGGUAAUCGAAUUCCAGUGAAAGGGAACAAAACUCCAGCCGCCACCGGCAUGCUGAGGAUAUUGUAGCCCAGGGCGACAUAAUUCAAUCGAAUUCGAGACAUGGUCUUUCUAGAGAGAUCAAUGGCUGUAACUACAUCUUCCAAGUUGCUCUUCCUCAGAACUAUAAGCAGCUUAUAUAGCUAUGUCGGUGCCAGCACCAAUUGCCAUGCCAACAUCUCCUGCAACCAUAGCCGGAGGGUCAUUAAUUCCAUCUCCCAUCAUUGCCACCGCCAUUCCUUUCAUCUGCAUCCAAAUCGACUUUAACAAGUCAGAAAACACUAUGUUAGAUAACUCACAUAUCAAGUCAGAUACAAACUUAAUAUAGAAAAAUGUGUUUGAAGAUUUCUAUAAGACAUUAUUUUACCCUAGAUAAGUCAUUUGAAAUAUAAUUUAGUAAUCCUCAAUCUGCGUUCAAAACCAGAACAAAAUUACUUGUGGAGCUGGGUAAUUGUAAUCCACUCACACCACCCCUGUAACUAUUAUAUAAUCGUAACUGUAAUUCUUUGAUUCUAUCAGCUUUUCAUAGUGGAUCCGUCUCAGCACACCUUAUCAAUGCCAACCUCCAUCGCACUGGCUGCCGCUGUAGCCCAGUUAUCACCAGUAACCAUGAUGCUUGUAAUGUUUAUCGAGUGAAGAUAAGAGAUGACUCGUGCAGCCUCUGGCUUCACUGGGUCAGUUACAGCAAAAGACCCAGCAAUCUUUCCAUCAAUGGACACCAACACACACCUUCGAGCCAGAUUAUCAUGUUCUGAAACAUACUUGUCAACCUCAGGACCAACCUGGACAUUAUUUUCCCGCAUGAGCCUCAGCAAUCACCAUUUACCUACAUAUUUCUCAAAUAGAGGCAUGUUAGCAUGAUUGACAAAAUAAUAACAAUAAGUUGUCUCAUCUGUAACUUUACAAACUUCAAACUUUUCAUGAACAAAUUUGAAACAUAAGCACCAACCUCUGUGACAAUAGACACAGCACAGAACUCCUCCAUUGAGUAAUUGGAGAAGAGCACAGCAUUGACUACUACGGGUUUCCCAACUGUCUCUCUGGUUGAGGCUGCAUUCAUUUUGACACAUGGGAAGGGCUUACUCUCCUAGUGGCUCGGCUUGGUCUCGCUCCCUUCCCGCACUAUUCCUCCCCACUAAAAAGAUUUGAUAAUCUCAAUAACGUUCAGAAAGGUUAUUGAGAUAAAUCGAUGAAAUCUUUCAAGCCAGCAUGGGGCAAAAGCUAUCAAAACGGGUGAUUGGGGAAGGAGAGAUAGGUCCAUUCACGAACACUAUUGGUCCCUGUUUCAUAAAAAAACAACCGUUUUCACUGGCAGGGAUCAAACACGUCCGUAAACAUCCAGACACCAACAAGGUGUCAAAUACUAAGAAACGUAUCAACCUUCAUGAAUUAGGUACCGUCUGUUCAGCUUUUAAUUUUGGAAAGAACAAAAACCCCAAAAAGGACGAAACAAUUAUUAGCCUUGUUAUAAAAAAGGGAGUUGGGGUAAAGAGAACUCUCCUUCAAUGAGAGCUGUCAUCUACAAGAAAUGGGGAUAUAAAACUUGGCGAGUACGGCUUGGUGACAUGGACAAGGUGCAUACAGCCAUCAAUCGUCCAGAACCAAAGGGUCAUAUGAGACAGAUUCCAACUAUGAAAUAAUAGUUGCAUGUUCAAUCCCAAUAUAUGCAGGAAGAACAUCCUCCAUACCCAAUGACAUAGAUUGCAUUUAGUUUUAUGUCACGAGCCUAAACGUUGAUCGAACCAAGGCAGAGCGUUUAACUGGUCAGGAAUGAAGUCCAUAACUUGUUCUCAUACGGAACACUAACAUAAUGUAGGGUGGUAGUAUAGGGGAUAGUAUGAAAUGACCAGAACAAUAUGAGGAGAGCAACUUCAUAAUGGAGGAAUGACGAGAAAAAAAAAACUACACUUGCACCCUCAAGACAUAUAGAGAAUGUAUCUAAUCAGAAAUUGGUUUUUCCUAAACCACAACAAACAGGUUUUCGACGUCCUCAAAGGAAAUGUAGGAACAAGUAUAAUGAAGCAACUAAACACACCAGCAAAAACAACAUGAAAAUAAAAUGCAUGAAAACCAGAUUCUAAAUUAAAAAAGAAAUUUGUUUCCAAGGAUAAGGUGGUCUUACCUUAUAAGCCUUUUCAAGUACACUAGCAAAAAUGCCCGCACUCCGCUGCGGGGACUUCUAGAAGUAUGAUCUUGUACCAUUUGAUUUCUUUUGCCAUUCCUAGUUCUUUUUGGCAUCAUGUGCAAAACCAAAUUGAUAGAUAAAAAAAGGUCGUACCCAGUGCACAAGGCUCCCGCUUUACGCAGGGUCUGGGAGAGGUGAAUGUCGGCUAGCCUUACCCCCAUUUAUGGAGAGGGCUGCUCCCAAGUCUCGAACCCGAGACCUACCGCUCAUGGGCGAAGGCACUUGCCAUCACACCAAGUGCGACCUCUUUAUUAUAAUUAAGUAAAAAAAUGAUAGGUAGGAAGAAAAAAAUGAAAACACCUGCAUAAAUUCAAUUUUCCAUCACCCCUAUAUUAUAAUUAAAUAAAGCAAAACAUAAUAAUCAUCUCACAAUUACAGAAGCAAGGACUUUCAAAUGCCCCAAUUAGUUAACAGCCACUAUGCAUAAUUCUGAAAAAAUGAGUAUAAAAUUAACCUCUUUUGAAAAACGAAGGAAGAAAGAUGAAACCUUAAGCCAAGGAAUAUAACUAUGUUGAACUCAAUUAUUUGACAUUAAUUACACAAACCCAAUUCCAUAUAUAUAGCCAGACAGAAGCUUUAUCCUAGAGAGAAACCAUGCCCAAAUGAUUAUAAUUCAGAGCAUAAAAGGGAAGUGAGUUCCUUGGUUCCCACAUUGUAGAGACUAAAUCUCAAAACUUUGCCAAGCAUUACAGGAAACCAUGGAAAGAAUAAAAAUGACCACAAAGAUUGCAAAACAAUUAACCACAGGUGGUGUUUAUAUGCCCACUGAGAGAAAAGAGCUUGUGCAAGUGAAAAAACGUAUUUAUAUAAAACAGGCAUGCACCAUCUGAAAGAGCCUCUUGUAUCCAUUCCAAUUAUACUUAUGUCUACCAUAUCCCUCUACAAUUCCCCACCACCAAUCAACCAUAACUGAUUUCAAUACCCUUAGCUGCUUUAGUAGACCAUCUAGUGACACCAACUGCCACCAAAAUAAAAGACACGAUCAAGACCAUACAAAUUACAGACUAAGCUUAAAAACAACGGUUAUCUAUUAAGCAAAACUUGGAACUCCUUGACAUGGCAACCUCUUAAUCCAGGAUGUAGAGUAGAAAAGCAAAAUUAUUGACAAACCGAAAAAUAACAAUUUAACUUGCAUAGUAAACGAAUAUUAGUAAAGUUACAUAACUCAAUGGAUUACAUAAAUCUGUAAAAAAGCGAAACAUCAGUGUUUGGGAAGUUACCUUAUUUGAAAUGUCAGGAGCAUCUGGUGUACAUACAGGGUAGACAGUCCUUGCAAAAUUCAGGGCUUCAAAAUAAAAUAAAAUAAUAAAUUCAAAAGAAAUCAAAACUAUUAAUCCUAACAACUGUUUAGUAAAGGAUAAAACAAUCUUUCCAUCAAGCAAAUUUGAGAAACAAGUAAUGAAUGGAAUAACCCAAUUUCUAUCGCCAAUCACCCUUGCUGAGUGAUGAUUCACAUACUUCCUCAUAUUUGUUUAUGGGUUCCUGUCCAACAAAAUUUCGACUUAGUACCCAAAAACUGUAUCAGCUCACAAACACACAGAGGUUUAUCAAAUUCAAAGCAAAACCCACAUAUAUUCUCAAGAUUCUAGAGUUAAAAGAGGAGCAAGGAGGUUCGGUUAAGGAACCCAAAACGCUAUUUUAAUGAGCAAAUGAAUAUCUAAACUGGGGUUAACAAGUUUCAGCAAUAAAAAACAUGUCUUUCGAACGAAGUUGCAUAAAUUACAGAACUUUGGGAUUAAGGAGGAACAAAAAGCCCAAAUUCCAAUCAAGAAAAAAAAAAUGUAUGUAAAUUUAAGCUUUACCUGUAGAUUGGCAGCAGCAAAACAUACUGGAUCCAACGGGAGCCACGUGUGAGAACUGGAUGCCCAGCCUUUGACACGUUAUUGAGUGAGUUUAGGGAUCUGGGUUUUGUGUUUGCCGUUGAAUUUUGGAAUGAUCUGGAGAAAUUUGGGUUUUAGGGUUCUAAGGAUUUGAGUGAACUGAAAUUGAUUUGGAUGAGCAACUUUUAGUUUCGAUUCGCGGUGGAGCAAGGAUGAAGAGGUGGAGGAGGAAGGAAUGAAAGACUUAACUUCUAAAGUUUCAAGUGCUCAAGGAAGAAAAUAUCGGUAAUAUCGGAAAUAUCGGUAGUCUGAAAACAUGGAAAUAUCGAUGGAAAUAUCGGGAUAAUAUCGAUAUCGAUAAAAAUUACAUGGAAACCACGGAAAUUGUAAGAAAAACUUGGAAAUUUUUAUUGAAACUUUGCAGGAUGUUUAUUUAGUCAAUUAUCUAUUUGUUUAUCACAAAAAAUUGGAAGGAAAGGCAUUACAUGAUGGAUUUAACAUUAUCAAGUUGAUUAUAUAACGAGCUGACAAACAUUGUGAGUGUAGAAAAUAUGUAGAAAUUAAUGAAAGAAGUCUAAACACACCAUAAUCAUUUAUAUAUAAUGAAUUAGUACAAUAUUUUACACUUUAUACAUUGCAUGGUAAGAUACAUGAGUGACUUAGUACCACAUAGAGUUCCUAUGAGGUUCAAAAUUUUCACUAUCUUCAUCAUCUCUAUGUGUAGAGUGAGUGUAUUUUAAAGAGUAGUUAGCAACCAUGGCAAUGGUUUUCAAGAACCAAAACCCAAAAGUCAAUAGGAAACCGAAUACUUCGGUAUUUUUCGGGAUUACCAAACAAAUGGGAUUUGGAAACCAAUCCCAUAUCGAAAAUUUCGGUAUUUUUCGGGAUGGGAUUCCCGAACUUCAGGAUGGUUUUGGUUUGGGAUUUUUCGGUUUGGGUUUGGGACUUUUUCAAUUUGGUUUGGGAUUUUCCGGAAUUUUUUCCAGCCCUACCAUGUAAGUGACCAAAUAAAAAAUAGAAAAAUUAAAAACCACAUGCCAUUGACUAAGUAAUUAAUUGAUACAAUUUAAAAUAUAAUACCACAAAAAAUUUGGAAUAUGUGCAAAUUUGUUUCUUGUAAAAAGAAUUCAAAACAAAACCAUAUAUAUAAAUAUUGUAGCAUAUUAUCACAACAUCAUAAGUGGUAUAGUGGUUAAGGCGUUAAGGAGGUAAACUCGAGGAGUUCGAACCCUUCUAUGCUCAAAAUUGAGACUUUUCCAAAUUUUCAGGAAUUUUUUGACUAAUAUCGCGAUAUUUUGACGAAAACUCAUUGGAUACUCAUUAAAAUAUCGGUAACUCAAAAAAACGAAAAUAUCGGCGAAAUAUCGUCGAUAUUUUGGAUAUUUUCUUCCAUGCAAGUGCUCAACAAAUUUCGAUCAAUGUAUGUUUCAAUACUUCAAAAAAAGGGACAUGCAUCAAAGACUUUUAGGUGGAAAAAAAUAUGCAUUGGCUGAUGGAGAUAAUUAGGAUUUAAAAUGUUAAAAAUUUUCUUUUUGGCUCACUAAUUAGAUGCAAAAGUGAGACUGUGUGAACAAUUUUACACCCAGAAACAUGAACUACACAGAAUCACAACUGAUCGAACAAUGAGAAAGUAUAUAAGACAAUACACUAUCAAUAGGCUAAAACACUCUUUUAAUUGAUCUAACAAUAGGCUAAAACACUCUUUUAAUUGAUCUAACAAUAGGCUAAUAGGAUUAACUAAACCAUUAGAGACUGCAACAAUGAGAAAGUCUGAAGAUUAAAGUUCUAGUUGAAUAUCUUUGAACCCCUAGGUGUUGGAAACACUUUCAGUAAAUUUGUUCAGGAAAAUAUAGAAACUCAUGAUGCAAUUCCAUCGUCUGGGAUAGCACAUAUUUACCUGGAAUCCAACAUUAAGCUAACAUUUUUCAUAAGUUUAUUCUUUUUGUUAACUACACUGGAAUUUAUAAAACAAUUUUAGAAAAACUCGAGUCUAGAUAAUGAACUUUUGUUCCAGUUUAAAAAAUUUUGACUUGUGUUCUAAGCAACAUAAUGUAUUCACAUUUCAAUUGUGAAAGGCAGCAAUAAUCCCCGACUGAAGAUAUUAAAAAUCAGAACUUCUUCUCCAAGUUUUCAUUUAGUUUAUUUCACUUGUCCAUCGGAAUUUUAUGCAAAGAAGAUUAAAUAAAGACAAUAGCAUGCCAAAGAUUAAAACCCCUCAUUUCAAACUCUGCUAAUGCACAACUCUGUUUGGUUUUCUUCCCAGAGACC